rnacentral:rRNA from 1 species
UUAAUCGGGAUUACUGGGCGUAAAGCGUGCGCAGGCGGUGAUGUAAGACAGAUGUGAAAUCCCCGGGCUCAACCUGGGAACUGCAUUUGUGACUGCAUCGCUGGAGUGCGGCAGAGGGGGAUGGAAUUCCGCGUGUAGCAGUGAAAUGCGUAGAUAUGCGGAGGAACACCGAUGGCGAAGGCAAUCCCCUGGGCCUGCACUGACGCUCAUGCACGAAAGCGUGGGGAGCAAACAGG